rnacentral:lncRNA from 1 species
UGAUUCGUUGAGGUAUUAAGGUGCUUUUAUUACCUGGACACCUUUGUCAAUGAAAUAUAUUACGAAAGUUUUGAGUUUAUAUUUAUGGCUUCCACAAAACUUGCUACGUGCUGCAGAUGGACAUAUUAAAAUCGUUAAUUUAGGCAGUGUAAAACCAUGUAGGAUAACAGAAUUCCUUUUAUAUGCAACAUCAGGUAUAUCUUUCUUGAUGUUCGGUUGCUUCCGUGGAAAUUAGAAUCAGUUUAUGUUCCCAAACAUAUGCUCUUUGUGCAUUUUUAUUGCCAAAUCACUUCUCCAGAUAACAAAGCAUGCACUUUUGUGGGGACAGCUGUAAAGAUCCUCACAUUCAAAUGAAGGUCGGUAUGCAGAUGAUUUUAUCCUAUUUUAGAUCACUCAAUAAGAAAAUAUUUGUUGUAUGAUGCAGGAAUUUGGAGAGAUUUUGGUGAGCCUCCUUUUAGUUUCUGCUAAUCAAUAUCAUAUUAAUGAACCUUUUAUACCCUUUAAGUUUUUUUUCAAAAAAUACUCUAGAAGUAUCAAUGUCAUAUUAAAAAGCAAAAGUAAAUAUCAUAUAGGACAUCCCUUUGCUCUUUUUUUUUUCUCCUCUUUGCACACCCUUAAAUGAUAUUUAAGCUUAGAUUUGUCUCAGUAUCUGAUCAAGCACCGGAGAAGGAGAAAAUGAUAUUUUAGCUUAGAUUUGUCUCAGUAUCUGAUCAAGCACCGGAGAAGGAGAAAAUAGUUCAAUGAAGACUAGGAAUAAACAUUUCCAAACCACUGUGAAGAUUGAAGAAUAAUGCGAAAGUUUAUUUCUCAUUAUAUCAGGUUAGUUUCACUUUCAACCUUGAAAGGAAUGUUACAGAUUUUUUGUUGCUGACAUUCUGGUCUGUUUGGUUGCUUACUACCAUAUCGUUUGGUUGAAUACUACAUUGUCUUCUAGAGAUAGAGCUGUCGUUGCCUGCAUUUUGGACGGAAGACAAACAAUUGCUUGCAGUUACGCAACUUGAUAUAUUUUCAACAGGUUACGACUUGAGAUCUCAAAUGGCUGAUUGCAGACGGACAAAAAAGGGACUUGCAUCAACUUUAGAAGUUUUAUUAAUUUUCACACUUCCAAGUUUGCGUGAUAAUUAUAAUUAAAAUAAUGGGACAUAAAAUACCUUUUGUAUGUGAUUCUAUAAUGACUUUUGUUGGUGUUGGUGUUGGUGUUGGUGUUGGUGUUGGUGUUGGUGUUGGCGUAUAGCAUUCUACACAAUCUUAUAGUGAAAGACAUUAGCUAAAUCCAUAUAGCCAUAUUAAUCAUGUUGGGCAGGUGCUUUUAUGUUGGGCCCGUACUAUGUACGGGCUUUCCUUGCUAGUAUAUAUAUAUAUAUAUAUACUAACUAUUUUGUACUACGAGUUGGUAUUGUAUCAAAAUUGGUAAAGAAGAAUCCUAGUCCAACUUU